AGGUCACUUUGAGGACAAUUCCUUAGCAACUCCUUAUAACGCUCCCAUGCCUCAUAAAGUGAUUCACCCAAAUUUUUCUCAAAGUCGGCUAUUGCCUUCUUGAGUUU